rnacentral:snRNA from 1 species
GUGCUCGCUUUGGCAGCACAUAUACUAAAAUUGGAAUGAUACAGAGAAGAUUAUCAUGACCCCUGGGCAAGGGUGACAUGCAAAUUCAUGAAGCAUUCCAUAUUUUU